GUGGGGAAUAUUGGACAAUGGGCGAAAGCCUGAUCCAGCCACGCCGCGUGUGUGAUGAAGGCCUUCGGGUCGUAAAGCACUGUGGAGGGGGAAAAACAAGCGAAGGAAUAAUACCCUUCGCCCUGAUGGUACCCCUUUAGCAAGCACCGGCUAACUCCGUGCCAGCAGCCGCGGUAAUACGGAGGGUGCCAACGUUGCUCGGAAUCAUUGGGCGUAAAGCGUAUGUAGGCGGUUUAUUAAGUCGGGUGUGAAAUCCCUGGGCUUAACCCAGGAACUGCAUUCGAUACUGGUAGACUCGAGUACGGGAGAGGAUAGCGGAAUUCCCGGUGUAGAGGUGAAAUUCGUAGAUAUCGGGAGGAACACCUGUGGCGAAGGCGGCUAUCUGGACCGAUACUGACGCUGAGGAUACGAAAGCGUGGGGAGCAAACAGGAUUAGAAACCCGUGUAGUCC
rnacentral:rRNA from 1 species